rnacentral:rRNA from 1 species
CGUGAUUUGGGCUAUAUUACGGACCCCAAAUUACUUGUUCAAGCAUUGUUUUCGAAUUUUUUCAUGCAUCAAAGCUCGUUAAGACUAGAUGGGGUAUCCCUACAUAGCGGGUGGGACCCACGGCGAAUGGUUCAUCAAGUCUUCAAAAAAGAAUAUAUACGAUUGCAUUGCAUAUACUAACGGAUGCGAUCAUACCAGCACUAAUGCACCGGAUCCCAUCAGAACUCCGCAGUUAAGCGUGCUUGGGCAGGAGUAGUACUAGGAUGGGUGACCUCCCGGGAAGUCCUCGUGUUGCAUCCCUCUUUUAUGUUUAACCUUUUUUUUUUUGGUUAAAACUUUAUGACUCCAUAACUUUUAGACCGUGAGGCCAAACUUGGCAUGUGACACCUUUUCGGAAAGCCCAAAGACAGCCCUCCGACGAAAGAAGCAGGACAAUGGAACUUUUCCAUGUACUUUUGUU